rnacentral:rRNA from 1 species
CCUACGGGCGGCAGCAGUGGGGAAUAUUGCACAAUGGGGGAAACCCUGAUGCAGCGACGCCGCGUGAGUGAAGAAGUAUUUCGGUAUGUAAAGCUCUAUCAGCAGGGAAGAAAAUGACGGUACCUGAUUAAGAAGCCCCGGCUAACUACGUGCCAGCAGCCGCGGUAAUACGUAGGGGGCAAGCGUUAUCCGGAUUUACUGGGUGUAAAGGGAGCGUAGACGGCAGCGCAAGUCUGGAGUGAAAUGUCGGGGCUUAACCCCGGAACUGCAUUGGAAACUGUGAAGCUGGAGUGCAGGAGAGGUAAGUGGAAUUCCUAGUGUAGCGGUGAAAUGCGUAGAUAUUAGGAGGAACACCAGUGGCGAAGGCGGCUUACUGGACUGUAACUGACGUUGAGGCUCGAAAGCGUGGGGAGCAAACAGGAUUAGAUACCCUUGUAGUC